UCGCCCUUACGGGAGGCAGCAGCAAGGAAUUUUCCCCAAUGGGCGCAAGCUGAGGGAGCAACGCCGCGUGGAGGACGUCGUUCUUUUUUUUUGUAAAGGUGGCGGGAAGAAACAACAACCACCACCCCCCCACCACCAGAAGCAGCCCCGGCUAACUCUGUGCCAGCAGCCGCGGUAAGACAGAGGGGGCAAGCGUUGUCCGGAGUUACUGGGCGUAAAGGGCGCGGAGGCGGUCUGCGGCGUCGGCGCUGAAAAGCCCUGCUUAACGGGGCGAGGCGUGCCGAUACGCGCAGACUUGAGGCGAGCAGAGGGUGGUGGAAUUCCGGUGUGGAGCGGUGAAAUGCGUAGAGAUCCUGAGGAACGCCAGUGCGGAAGCCGGCCACCUGGGCUCGGCCUGACGCUGCGGCGCGACAGGUGGGGGAGCAAACCGGAUUAGAUACCGGGUAGUCACGCCGUAAACGAUGCAGCUCGCGUGUGGCGACGUUCGUGCUGCGUGCUUAGUCACGGAUAGGU
rnacentral:rRNA from 1 species